rnacentral:rRNA from 1 species
UUUUAUUUGAGAGUUUGAUCCUGGCUCAGGAUGAACGCUGGCGGCGUGCCUAACACAUGCAAGUUGAGCGAUUUACUUCGGUAAAGAGCGGCGGACGGGUGAGUAACGCGUGGGUAACCUACCCUGUACACACGGAUAACAUACCGAAAGGUAUGCUAAUACGGGAUAAUAUAUUUGAGAGGCAUCUCUUGAAUAUCAAAGGUGAGCCAGUACAGGAUGGACCCGCGUCUGAUUAGCUAGUUGGUAAGGUAACGGCUUACCAAGGCGACGAUCAGUAGCCGACCUGA